rnacentral:rRNA from 1 species
UUAGGAAUCUUCCACAAUGGGCGAAAGCCUGAUGGAGCGACACCGCGUGAAGGACGAAGGCCCUAGGGUCGUAAACUUCUAAAAGAGGGACGAUAAUGACGGUACCUCUUGAGAAGCACCGGCUAACUCCGUGCCAGCAGCCGCGGUAAUACGGAGAGUGCAAGCGUUAUCCGGAAUCACUGGGCGUAAAGGGCGCGUAGGUGGUUUGUUAAGUCUGGCGUUAAAGCCUGGGGCUCAACCCCAGAUCAGCGUUGGAUACUGGCAGACUAGACGGUUGGAGAGGCGAGUGGAAUUACCAGUGUAGCGGUGGAAUGCGUAGAUACUGGUAGGAACACCCAUUGCGAAGGCAGCUCGCUGGACAACACGUGACACUGAGGCGCGAAAGUGUGGGGAGCAAACCGGAUUAGAUACCCGGGUAGUCCACACCCUAAACGAUGCAUACUUGGUAUUGGCCCGUUGGGGUCAGUGCGCGGAGCUAACGUGUUCUAGUAUGCCGCCUGGGAAGUACGGCCGCAAGGUUGAAACUCAAAUGAAU